CCUACGGGUGGCAGCAGUGGGGAAUAUUGGACAAUGGGGGGAACCCUGAUCCAGCCAUGCCGCGUGUGUGAAGAAGGCCCUCGGGUUGUAAAGCACUUUCAGUGAGGAAGAACGCCUGGUGGUUAAUACCCAUCAGGAAAGACAUCACUCACAGAAGAAGCACCGGCUAACUCCGUGCCAGCAGCCGCGGUAAUACGGAGGGUGCGAGCGUUAAUCGGAAUUACUGGGCGUAAAGCGCGCGUAGGUGGCUUGAUAAGCCGGUUGUGAAAGCCCCGGGCUCAACCUGGGAACGGCAUCCGGAACAGUCAAGCUAGAGUGCAGGAGAGGAAGGUAGAAUUCCCGGUGUAGCGGUGAAAUGCGUAGAGAUCGGGAGGAAUACCAGUGGCGAAGGCGGCCUUCUGGACUGACACUGACACUGAGGUGCGAAAGCGUGGGUAGCAAACAGGAUUAGAUACCCGGGUAGUC
rnacentral:rRNA from 1 species